rnacentral:SRP_RNA from 1 species
GCCAGGUGUGGUGGCGUGUGCCUGUAAUCCCCGCUACUUGGGAGGCCGAGGCAGGAGAAUCACUUGAACCCAGGAGUCAGAGAUUGCAGUGAGCCGAGAUCGUGCCACUGCACUCCAGCCUGGGCAACAGAGUGAGACUCUGUCUCAA